rnacentral:tRNA from 1 species
GCCGGGGUGCCCGAGCGGUCCAAGGGGCCGGCCUUGAGAGCCGGUAGGGACAACCCUGCGCGGGUUCGAAUCCCGCCCCCGGCG